GUUAUGAGAGGAAUUUUAGACAAUAUCACUAAAAUUUACAUCAAAUCAAAACCACCAGCUACUCUUGGAAGAUGUACUCAAAUCGACUCAUCAAAUAUUGUUUUUGCAAUCACUGGUCAUUCAAACAGUGCCGGUUCCUGUGUAAAGUAUAUGGAUAUUAGAAACGUUAAUGACUUAAAAUGAAAACUGAGCGAUCCUAACCGUGAAGACUCAAAUAUGGUAGUAUCUGAAAAUGGGAUAAUACUUGCCAUCGGUGGUGCAGAUGAGUCUGGUCGAUGGGUCCAUCAUGUAGACGAGCUUGAUCUAAAGUCAGAAUCAAAACUAUGGGUUUCUACAGAGCCAUUGAAUAAACCACGAACAAAUUUUGCUGUUUGUACAUAAAAGCAGUACAUAUAUGUCGUCGGUGGCUAUGAUUUCUCAAAUAAGAAUUAUUUGAAUUCUGUAGAAUACUAUGAUACAAAGUCAAAAGUAUGGACGGAGAUUAUUAUACCAAUGCCCACUGCUCGAUACAGAGAUAACAAGACUUAUAGUCAUAUUACAAUUAAACAUGAAAUUUACCAAAUUGAUGAUCAUGUGUUUGAAACUGUGAUUCAAGUGGAAGAACCUUUGAUUCUGCAGUCAAAUGACAAAUUGAUGGACGAAAGAGAGUCGGUCAGAUGCAGUGUGUGUUCAAAACAAUUUUCAUCUAAACGAAAACUGAACCACCAUAUUACACAAUCACACAAUGGUCGUUCUAAAACCGAGGAAUGUUUAAUUUUAAAAGAAAUUGAUGAAAAUACUUCAGCUAUUAGCUGCAAUAACGACGAUUUGAAUGUCAAAAUUGAAAAAGAAUGGGCAAUUUACCUCCAUGCUGCGGUGUACCUCCACCUGUGACAAUUACUUGUUAUCACACAAACACACUAUCACAAAUCUGUCUAGAAAAUGUUUGCAUUGUCCUGCAGUUUGCGUUA